AUGGGCAUGAAAUUCGCUGAUUUUGAAGUAUAGAAACUUUUAAGUUUAAUUUGGAGCAAAUCUUGAAGGGGGAGGGGGGUUGAGUAAUUAAUCCUAAACAAUACCAAACCAACAUACAACAUAACAAUAAAGUAAAAAAAUUAAAAAAUGACAGUUAGAAAUUAGGCUAACUUCAUCCGGUCAAUAAUUGUUCAGGUUUUUGUUAUUGACCCAUAUUUCCAUUGCUUGAGCAUUGUUUUUAGGGGUGGCAAUUCGUGUUCAGGGGGGGUCAUGUUCAUGUGAACAUAUGGGCAUAACAAAAUUUGAGUCAACACAAACACGGCCCGUUUUUCAAUGGGAUAACAUGACAUGAUAACACGUUUAGCAAAUAUAAUAUUAUGAACCAUUUAAUUCAGUACUAGACGUUUUAACACAUAUUGACACAAAUCCAAUGUAUUUAGACUCAUCAAUUUUAUAAUAUAAAAAGUUACCAAAACAAUAAAUCAUAAAUAUAAUAUAAAUAGCAACGUGAAGUGAUGAUUAAAAUAAUGCUAUUCUAAAAAAAGAAUAUUAUAUAUACACCAUAAAAUAAAUUAAAAAAACAAAUAACUAAAUUAAU
rnacentral:misc_RNA from 1 species